UUCGGUCGAUAGGGCGAUAAGGGGUUUGUUAACGGUAGCUAUUAAAGGGUUAUUUGAAACCAACAGCUGCCGCUUUACAUCCUGUGCGCGUCUUUUUUUCGCUUUGCAAAAGUUCAACUUUCAAACUAGUUAACAAUUCAACGGACAAUGGUGUUUCGUUGAGGAGUGUUGCGACGGAUUUAUAUACCUAGGAUAGUUCAGCCAUUUCACCGUUUAAGCUUUUCCGAUAGAACGGGGAGAUCGAAAAUGAAACCAAUGACUGCAAAUAUGAUCAUGAUAUUUGGUGUGUUUGCCUGUUUCAUCGGACUGAUACCACUUAACUCUGCAAUACGUAUCGAAACUUUGCCAGAACAAAGAGGAGAAGAACGCCUGGGGUGUUUUGCAAACACAAGUUUCCGAUUUGAUUUUACUAAUGAAAGAAACUACACUAUUAAGAUUGGAUCAUGCCCGACUCCACCAACAUCAGAGUGCAUGCUGUUUAAUCAAACAUUUACCAAUAAGUAUGAUAUAUCGUCUACGACAGACGGUGGUGUGUUAACCAUAAGGAAUUGUAACAAGAACGAUUUCGGAACAUAUACAUGUGUCAAUAAAUUGGAUGAGUCACAAAGAAACAGUCGCAACCUAGUGUGCACAGCAACCAGCGGGGGUCUUUCAAAUACUGGAACAUAUUUAAUAAUGGUUUUCAGUAUUUUGUGCAAAUGCAUCGAGUUAAAAAAAUAAAAUUUAAAAGUAA